GAAGCGUGGACGCUUCGCUUUUGAUAUGUAAAGUUUUGGGAACCUUUGAUGUAUAUUUGAUAUAUAUAUCUUGAAAUUCAAUUGAGGAUUGUAGUGAACGACUGAGUCCCGGCGAGAGCUGGGCAGGCGGCCCGCCGAACCCUCUGGUUCGCCUUAGGGGGAGGUGGGGCCGUGACAAUUGGUAUCAGAGCUUAGGAUUCAGAUCUCUGUAGUGUAUCCUAGGCUUGAAGUUUAGGAUGCCGGACUGUGGGAUUGAUUUGACUCUUGAGAGAUUUUUGCGGGAUGUCUUGACUUGAUUGGUACAAAAGGGAAUGUCGAGGACGACAUUCUUUUAAGGAGGGGAGAUUGUGACGCCCCGAAAAAAAAUGAGUUUGAGAACCCGGAAAUUUUCUAGGGUUUAUUUUAUUUAAUCGCCCGUUUUUUCUACAUUUUCUUUAUUAGAAAAAAUUCCCCAGAUAAUGUUUCUGAGCAAAGAUAGUUUUAAAAUGAUUUUUCUAGUAUUGGUUAGUGUUUGAGAAAUUAAAAGCGUAUUUUGAAUGUGGGACCCACUAGGGCGAAAAGUUCGGAAAAAUUCGACCAAUUAGGUGAAAUUCCGGAUACUGUGUAAAAUUUAUCGGGUGUUAAGAGAUAAGUAGAGUGUGUGAAAGGAUUGAUGUGAGAGAGAAAAAAAAGGAUAGGAAUGCAUUAAUGAAGUGCCACGUGUCACUUGGUGAUUGGUUUUGACUUAAGAACACUAUUCAUUUUUUUUGACUUUGGACCAAAAUUGGUUAAAUAUCUAAAAAUUUCACAAAAAAUCACCAUUUUCUUUCACCUUGUGGCCGGCCCUCUCUCUUGCCAAGAAGGAAGAAAACUUUUUCAAUCUUCAAGCUUUCCACUAGCUCAAAUCAUCCAAAUCAAUCGCACCAACUAGUUUCCACUCCAUACAAUCUUUCCAUUUAGUGUUAGUGGUGAGUUUGGUGAAGUUUUUGGAAGAGCUAAGGUGGUCUACAACUCCGCUUCUCUUGUUUACUAAGUAAGUGAUGAUUGAACAUCCUCUUAUAUCUAAUGAUGCUUAUUUUGUGCCUAAUGGUGGCUUGAGUGAUGGAAUGUGUGAUUUAUUUCUUGAUUUGAAGUGAUUUGGUGAAGUUUUUAUAUUUUUGAGGAAUUUUCUGGUUUAAUAUGAAUGGGAUGUUGUGGCUAUUUUUGAUGAUUGGCAAUGGCUUAUAAAGACUCUAGUAGGUGUGAAUUAGUGAUAAAUGCAACCAAUUUUGGGUUUGGAGUGAAAUGAGAAAAGUUAGGGUUCUUCAACCCCCUUUUCUGUCCGGUUUUGUAUCUCAGAUUUAGAGGCCGAAUUGGCUUUUGCUCAAAACAUGAAAGUUGUAGGUAUUGAUGUGUUUGAGGUGCCUGUAAAAUUUCAGGUCAUUUGGAGUAGUGUAGAGUGAGUUAUGUCGUUUUUACUGUUGCUGUUCUGGGUGAUCAGAAUGUGCGAACUGCGAUUGUAAUCGUCUGUUUUGACUGGAAUUUCUUUGGAUUUGGAUGUUGGUGUCUUCUGAUGAAAUGUAGCUUAAUGUCGUAGCUAUCAUAUUCCUUUGGAAUCAAUGAAUUUGGACCUGUAUAGCCUGAAUUGGACUGAUUACAGUUUUGUGUGAUUUGGGAACCUGCAAUUGCGGUUCUGGCUUGGUUUUCUGCAUUUUUGACCUAGUUGUGCUAGGAUUUGGACUGAGUGGCCUUCUACAUUGUUGUAGCCCUGUCUUUUAGCUUCGAUAUGGUGGGUCUUACACCCUCAUCCGAUAAGCGUAUCGCAUUUUGUGCUAUUACCGCAAAGUGACGUCCAAAACUAUUUUUCUGGUUUGAGCUAAACUUUCAUUUCCGGACUUUUCCCUAGCUUGACUUGUACUCGUACUACUUGGAGCUUGCUGAAUGGCUAUUGGAUGAACUUGUUGUUGUGUGUGUACCUUUGGGACUGAUUUGAGGAAGUAAUGAAGCCGUGAUGGCUGGAAAAGUAAGCAAAUUCAGGGGAUGUGCUGUCCAAACUUUGAAGGAACUUGUUUGCAUUGAGUUUGUGAUUUAAGACUUGGAUUUGAGCAAGACAAUGUUAUAUGCUGGAUGAUUUCUGAGCCGUGGAGGUGAGUGACCUCAAACUGUUCCCAUAUUUACUGUUGAACCGCUUUCCUGCAUUAUCUACUUUUGAACUAUUUUCAAAGUUACUUUUGGGAACUGUUUUCUUACAUAUCAUGUGUGCUUGCAUAUCAGUGUUCCUUGUUUACUGUAUUCCUUGACUUAAUGUCUUGUUAUUAUUGUUCAUUGAUUGUUAAAACGAGUUUUUUAGGCGAGUGUGUACUUUAUCGCACUCGACCUAAAUAUAUGUGAAAUUUUCAAUGAUUAAUGAUUAAAUGCUACUUGCGCAUGAAUGUAAGCCUUUUGGGCUGAACUGGCCAUUGCCCCUUGUUACCGGUUGUCUCGAGCCAGAAGCGGACUCGGUCGGGCGACUAGGAACUUGGGUGAACGUUUCGGUAUACUCGAGUAUUACCUUGUAGGUUGGUGGAGCCUGGCCAAAAGCCAGGGACGGGGUGAAUGAAUGCACGAAUGAAAUAAUGAAAUGCAAUGAAAUGACAGGAGAACGAAUGUAUCAUUUGCACGAAUGUUACUAUCGCUUUCCAUUGUACAUGUUUCUUGAAUUAUUGAUACUCCAUAUUUACUGUUUUGUAAAUGUUGAAAUUGUUUCGGGACUUAUCAUUUGAUUUGAAUUGAACAUCAUUGAAAUGAACGAUUGUGAAACUGAUAUGAUAACUGAUUUUCUUGGUUACUCGCUGAGCUUCUAGCUCACCCCAAAACUGUUUUAUUCCCCUCCACAGGGCUCAAGGCGAAGGAAGGGCUUGUAGUGUUUAUUCAUGGAUUAUCUCAUGUAUGGAUUGUACUUGAAUUUCUUUUUGUGUAAUCAUUCAUGUUGGGAUCGUAUUGAACGUUUAGAAUUGAUUGGAGGUGUAAUAGGCUAGUUUUGGACUUCCUCUUGUAUAAUCAUUGGGAUCAUGGAUCAGAGUGGCGCUGCGGAAGCGUGGACGCUUCGCUUUUGAUAUGUAAAGUUUUGGGAACCUUUGAUGUAUAUUUGAUAUAUAUAUCUUGAAAUUCAAUUGAGGAUUGUAGUGAACGACUGAGUCCCGGCGAGAGCUGGGCAGGCGGCCCGCCGAACCCUCUGGUUCGCCUUAGGGGGAGGUGGGGCCGUGACAAUUGGUAUCAGAGCUUAGGAUUCAGAUCUCUGUAGUGUAUCCUAGGCUUGAAGUUUAGGAUGCCGGACUGUGGGAUUGAUUUGACUCUUGAGAGAUUUUUGCGGGAUGUCUUGACUUGAUUGGUACAAAAGGGAAUGUCGAGGACGACAUUCUUUUAAGGAGGGGAGAUUGUGACGCCCCGAAAAAAAAUGAGUUUGAGAACCCGGAAAUUUUCUAGGGUUUAUUUUAUUUAAUCGCCCGUUUUUUCUACAUUUUCUUUAUUAGAAAAAAUUCCCCAGAUAAUGUUUCUGAGCAAAGAUAGUUUUAAAAUGAUUUUUCUAGUAUCGGUUAGUGUUUGAGAAAUUAAAAGCGUAUUUUGAAUGUGGGACCCACUAGGGCGAAAAGUUCGGAAAAAUUCGACCAAUUAGGUUAAAUUCCGGAUACUGUGUAAAAUUUAUCGGGUGUUAAGAGAUAAGUAGAGUGUGUGAAAGGAUUGAUGUGAGAGAGAAAAAAAAGGAUAGGAAUGCAUUAAUGAAGUGCCACGUGUCACUUGGUGAUUGGUUUUGACUUAAGAACACUAUUCAUUUUUUUUGACUUUGGACCAAAAUUGGUUAAAUAUCUAAAAAUUUCACAAAAAAUCACCAUUUUCUUUCACCUUGUGGCCGGCCCUCUCUCUUGCCAAGAAGGAAGAAAACUUCUUCAAUCUUCAAGCUUUCCACUAGCUCAAAUCAUCCAAAUCAAUCGCACCAACUAGUUUCCACUCCAUACAAUCUUUCCAUUUAGUGUUAGUGGUGAGUUUGGUGAAGUUUUUGGAAGAGCUAAGGUGGUCUACAACUCCGCUUCUCUUGUUUACUAAGUAAGUGAUGAUUGAACAUCCUCUUAUAUCUAAUGAUGCUUAUUUUGUGCCUAAUGGUGGCUUGAGUGAUGGAAUGUGUGAUUUAUUUCUUGAUUUGAAGUGAUUUGGUGAAGUUUUUAUAUUUUUGAGGAAUUUUCUGGUUUAAUAUGAAUGGGAUGUUGUGGCUAUUUUUGAUGAUUGGCAAUGGCUUAUAAAGACUCUAGUAGGUGUGAAUUAGUGAUAAAUGCAACCAAUUUUGGGUUUGGAGUGAAAUGAGAAAAGUUAGGGUUCUUCAACCCCCUUUUCUGUCCGGUUUUGUAUCUCAGGCUUAGAGGACGAAUUGGCUUUUGCUCAAAACAUGAAAGUUGUAGGUAUUGAUGUGUUUGAGGUGCCUGUAAAAUUUCAGGUCAUUUGGAGUAGUGUAGAGUGAGUUAUGUCGUUUUUACUGUUGCUGUUCUGGGUGAUCAGAAUGUGCGAACUGCGAUUGUAAUCGUCUGUUUUGACUGGAAUUUCUUUGGAUUUGGAUGUUGGUGUCUUCUGAUGAAAUGUAGCUUAAUGUCUUAGCUAUCAUAUGCCUUUGGAAUCAAUGCAUUUGGACCUGUAUAGCCUGAAUUGGACUGAUUACAGUUUUGUGUGAUUUGGGAACCUGCAAUUGCGGUUCUGGCUUGGUUUUCUGCAUUUUUGACCUAGUUGUGCUAGGAUUUGGACUGAGUGGCCUUCUACAUUGUUGUAGCCCUGUCUUUUAGCUUCGAGAUGGUGGGUCUUACACCCUCAUCCGAUAAGCGUAGCGCAUUUUGUGCUAUUACCGCAAAGUGACGUCCAAAACUAUUUUUCUGGUUUGAGCUAAACUUUCAUUUCCGGACUUUUCCCUAGCUUGACUUGUACUCGUACUACUUGGAGCUUGCUGAAUGGCUAUUGGAUGAACUUGUUGUUGUGUGUGUACCUUUGGGACUGAUUUGAGGAAGUAAUGAAGCCGUGAUGGCUGGAAAAGUAAGCAAAUUCAGGGGAAGUGCUGUCCAAACUUUGAAGGAACUUGUUUGCAUUGAGUUUGUGAUUUAAGACUUGGAUUUGAGCAAGGCAAUGUUAUAUGCUGGAUGAUUUCUGAGCCGUGGAGGUGAGUGACCUCAAACUGUUCCCAAAUUUACUGUUGAACCGCUUUCCUGCAUUAUCUACUUUUGAACUAUUUUCAAAGUUACUUUUGGGAACUGUUUUCUUACAUAUCAUGUGUGCUUGCAUAUCAGUGUUCCUUGUUUACUGUAUUCCUUGACUUAAUGUCUUGUUAUUAUUGUUCAUUGAUUGUUAAAACGAGUUUUUUAGGCGAGUGUGUACUUUAUCGCACUCGACCUAAAUAUAUGUGAAAUUUUCAAUGAUUAAUGAUUAAAUGCUACUUGCGCAUGAAUGUAAGCAUUUUGGGCUGAACUGGCCAUUGCCCCUUGUUACCGGUUGUCUCGAGCCAGAAGCGGACUCGGUCGGGCGACUAGGAACUUGGGUGAACGUUUCGGUAUACUCGAGUAUUACCUUGUAGGUUGGUGGAGCCUGGCCAAAAGCCAGGGACGGGGUGAAUGAAUGCACGAAUGAAAUAAUGAAAUGCAAUGAAAUGACAGGAGAACGAAUGUAUCAUUUGCACGAAUGUUACUAUCGCUUUCCAUUGUACAUGUUUCUUGAAUUAUUGAUACUCCAUAUUUACUGUUUUGUAAAUGUUGAAAUUGUUUCGGGACUUAUCAUUUGAUUUGAAUUGAACAUCAUUGAAAUGAACGAUUGUGAAACUGAUAUGAUAACUGAUUUUCUUGGUUACUCGCUGAGCUUCUAGCUCACCCCAAAACUGUUUUAUUCCCCUCCACAGGGCUCAAGGCGAAGGAAGGGCUUGUAGUGUUUAUUCAUGGAUUAUCUCAUGUAUGGAUUGUACUUGAAUUUCUUUUUGUGUAAUCAUUCAUGUUGGGAUCGUAUUGAACGUUUAGAAUUGAUUGGAGGUGUAAUAGGCUAGUUUUGGACUUCCUCUUGUAUAAUCAUUGGGAUCAUGGAUCAGAGUGGCGCUGCGGAAGCGUGGACGCUUCGCUUUUGAUAUGUAAAGUUUUGGGAACCUUUGAUGUAUAUUUGAUAUAUAUAUCUUGAAAUUCAAUUGAGGAUUGUAGUGAACGACUGAGUCCCGGCGAGAGCUGGGCAGGCGGCCCGCCGAACCCUCUGGUUCGCCUUAGGGGGAGGUGGGGCCGUGACAAUUGGUAUCAGAGCUUAGGCUUCAGAUCUCUGUAGUGUAUCCUAGGCUUGAAGUUUAGGAUGCCGGACUGUGGGAUUGAUUUGACUCUUGAGAGAUUUUUGCGGGAUGUCUUGACUUGAUU
rnacentral:lncRNA from 1 species